rnacentral:rRNA from 1 species
UCGACUGUUUAUCAAAAACAUAUUUAAUAGAUUUCAUUAUUAAUAAAACCUGCUCAAUGAUUUUUAAAUAGCCGCAGCUCAUACUGUGCUAAGGUAGCAUAAUCAUUUGUCUUUUAAUUGAAGACUAGAAUGAAAGGUUAAACAUUUAAAAUAUUUUAUUAUUAAUUAAUUUUAACUUAUUUUAAGUGUAAAAAAACUCUUAUAUAUAAGAAAGACGAUAAGACCCUAUUAAACUUUACUAAAGUUUAACUGGGGUAGUUAAUUAAUAAAGAUUUUAAUCUUAUUUUAUAUAAGAAUGACCUGACAUAAUCAAUUUUAUGAUCAAGUUACUAUAGGGAUAACAGCGCAAUAUUUUUCCAUAGCUCUUAUAUAAAAAUUUGAUUACGACCUCGAUGUUGAAUUAAUAAUUCUAAUAAAUGCAGUCAUUUAUAAAGAGAGUCUGUUCGACUCUUAAAUUAUUACAUGAUUUGAGUUCAGACCGGUGUAAACCAGGUCGGUUUCUAUCUU